rnacentral:lncRNA from 1 species
UUACAAGUCAUCUGACAGUUUAGACAGGUUCAUCGAGAGAUUCAAACAGCUGGUCACCCUAUCAAGCUAGAGCUAUGAUGAAUCCUGGUUUUAUAGAGUGGAAUUAUGCUUUUUAAUGCCUUGAAGCAAGCACGGAGAAACAGAGCAGGGACUAAUCAAACAAUCAUGGCCGUAGAGAGUGGGGACUUUCUUCAAGAUCAUCCAUCGAGGAUCAAACAAUCGAAGUUGCGUGAUUGGGAGCUGGGAAAAUAGCAUGUGCUCUUGGAGCCAUUGAUGAGAGGAGGAGUGGAUGGAGGGAAGUUCUUGAGUAUAAAAUCCUUUUUAGCUGGAAGCAGGAACUUAUUAAGAAGGG